CAACCCUCCGAAACCCCAUUGCUAUGAGACCUUCCUCCCACAUACCUGGAGUGAACUGCCUCUUUCUUCCGCCUGCCCUUGCCCUCCCCACAUGGAGGUCAGUUUCAGAUUUCACCUCCAGAGCUGCCAGGGUUGCAAACCAACAAAUCUGAACUUGUCCAUUGAGACUCCACACUGCUCACUGCCACUGCAACUGCCUUGGUUUUUCGGAAGGACACUGGGGAGAGAAUCAGCACACACUAUUUCCACUCCUGAAAGUCACAGAGUAAAACUGAGAGAGGAAUAUGAUUGAGCAAGGAAAAAAGUUCUGAACGGUCCUCACUGUUUCUUCCUGCUCCACGGCCUGGUGCUACCGAAAGAGGCACAGGUGGCAGUGUUAGUGGAAUGUUCCACGGAAGGAAAAGGCUUCCUCUCACUGAUCUCAAGAUCUCUCAAGACAUAGAGGCUUCCCAGAAUUUCAAUACAGUGGAGUGGCAAUGCCACACAAUCGCCAACUUGUGGAGUACUCUUAAUUUCUAGAAAUACUUUUGACACCAACAUUCUCAAACUUGGAAGAAAU